UACAGAGGUCUCAAGCGUUGUUCGGAUUCAUUGGGCGUAAAGCGCGCGCAGGCGGCGUCGGGCGUCGGUGCUGAAAGUCCACCGCUUAACGGUGGAUAGCGUGCCGAUACGCCGGCGCUGGAGGGUGGGUGAGGGUGGUGGAAUUGCCGGUGUAGUGGUGAAAUGCGUAGAGAUCGGCAGGAACACCCGUGGCGGAAGCGGCCACCUAGCCCGCACCUGACGCUGAGGCGCGACAGCGUGGGGAGCGAACGGG
rnacentral:rRNA from 1 species